rnacentral:rRNA from 1 species
CCUACGGGCGGCAGCAGUGGGGGAUAUUGCACAAUGGGGGGAACCCUGAUGCAGCGACGCCGCGUGGGUGAAGGAGUGCUUCGGCAUGUAAAGCCCUAUCGGCAGGGAAGAAGCAAGACGGUACCUGACUAAGAAGCACCGGCUAACUACGUGCCAGCAGCCGCGGUAAUACGUAGGGGGCGAGCGUUAUCCGGAUUCACUGGGUGUAAAGGGAGCGUAGACGGCCAUGCAAGCCAGGGGUGAAAGCCCGGGGCCCAACCUCGGGACUGCCCUUGGAACUGUGCGGCUAGAGUGCGGGAGGGGCAGGCGGAAUUCCUGGUGUAGCGGUGAAAUGCGUAGAUAUCAGGAGGAACACCGGCGGCGAAGGCGGCCUGCUGGACUGCGACUGACGUUGAGGCUCGAAAGCGUGGGGAGCGAACAGGAUUAGAUACCCCUGUAGUC